GACUCUCGACAAUAGAUAUCUAGGCUCUCGCAUCGAUGAAGAACGUAGCGAAAUGCGAUACUUGGUGUGAAUUGCAGAAUCCUUUGAAUCAUCGAGUUUUUGAACGAAAGUUAAGCUCGAAGCCAUUUGGCCGAGGGCACGUUUGCCAAAGUGUCA